CAUGGAACUGAAUGUAUCACCAUUUUUGUUUAAGAUAGCCUACCUUUAAGCCUCUAGCCCUUCACAUAGUUUCCCCCUCCUCUUCCUGAUGACAGGUCUUUCUGUUGCCACUGACACUGUCUCCCUGAACAACCGUUAUGACCUGGCAUUGCCAUAUACUGCUACAGGGUCCUCCCUCCCUCUUCUUUCACAAUGCCUGAGUUCUGGUCUCCAUGGAGAUCCAGGAAUAUAAAUGAUGCUCUAGAGACCAUUAGGUUCAGUUUAGCAUCAGACGUAACUGUGUGCAGACUUAGGCCUUUUGAACGCUUUGACGGCUCACCCCAGAAACAGAGGGAAAAACUGCCCAUCAUGAAAAGAAGAAAUACAAGGUUUUUGUCAGCCCUAAAAGGAAUAAUUCAUUUUAGAUUCAAUGAUUGCCAUUUCCUACUGUUGCUCCCAGCUCUUUUUUUGAUUUUGGACUUCUGGAUAAAGGAUGUUCAACCUGUAUCUGUUAAAGAACCAGAACAAAUAUCUAUUUAAGGAAAAGUAUAAUGUACCAAACAUUUACAGGCUAAGGAGCUAGUUGUUAAUUAAGGAAGAGAAAAGGUUGGCAAAUGUCUAUUCCACUUCCUUUCUGAUUACAUCUUUUCCCGUUUUGGAUGAUUUUUCAUCAACAGUAAACCAAAUUAGCUGCAUAUUGCUUUAUUGGCAUAGCUGUUGGCAACUGGAACUUGUCUAGCAGGCUUAUAACAAAUGAGAAACGUAAGCUCUCUAAUUGUUUAUUUUCCCCAGCAAAUCUGAGCUGCAUUCUUCUUGCCAUAAAUCCCCUCCAACCUGCUGCCACCUGAUCUGCUUUUAGUGUAACAUGCUUGGUGGUCAUAAGAUAAUAUUUUAAACGUACACCAAAUAGUUUUGUCACGCUUUCAAUCUGUUUUUUGUUCAUAUUAAAACAAACAGAAGUAAACAAUUUGUUGGAUAUAAGGUGAAAGAAAAAAUAUUAAAUUACAGUGAAACCAACCAAAAGAAAGCCUCUAUUAACGCACGCAUGCGCACACACACACACACACACAUUUAUAAUAUAAACAACAACAAGACUUUAUUAUGGUCCAUGACCAGCAUAGAGUGGGGCACUAAUAAUAAUAAUAGUAAUAAUAAUAAUAAUAAUUUUAUUUUUAUACCCCGCCCCAUCUCCCCAAGGGGACUCGGCGCAGCUUACAUGGGGCCAAGCCCAGGCAACAAACAAUAUAAAACUCAGCAAUAAAAAACAAACCAUAAACAAAUAAAAUCACAUAUACCAAUAAACAAUAAGCACACUUUGAUAAAAAUGCCCUGGGAAGGGGAAAUACAGUUUCUCUUCAGAUUGUAUAAAUCUUUCAUCUUUCAUCUUUUAAUAAAAAAAAGAAAAAGAAAUCCCCCAUAUCUAUCUAUCUAUCUAUCUAUCUAUCUAUCUAUCUAUCUAUCUAUCUAUAUAUCCACACACAUAAAUAUACACACAUACAGUAUAUAUGUUUGUAGUUCUGAGUUACAUGUAAUUAGAGAUGUAGGUUUUGUAGUUUGAUAUGUGAUUGUUGUUUAAGUAUGUCUUUGUUUAUGCAUGCAUGCAUAAUAAUAAUAAUAAUUUCAUUCUGGUACCACCACCAUCUCCCCAAAGGGACUCGGGGCAGCUUACACGUGGCACAAAAAUGCUUAAAACAGUGUAUAAAAUAAAACACAAUAUAAAAUGCAGUUAAAUAAAACAAAUAGACAUAUAAAACAACUUAAAACUCUAUUAAAACGGUGCUCUUCUGGUGUUAAGCCAAUGUGAAUAUGGCCAGGCUGUAAACAAUGGGCAAGGGAAUGAGAUAAGUGCAAAAGGUGCAGUCAUGGGAUGAAGCAUGAGAUACAGUGCAAGACUGCAUAACAAUUGUGAAGAGCAACUAGGAGCUAGACAGUCUCAAAAGCUUAUUCAAACAUCCAGGUCUUCAGGUUCUUACGAAGGGUGGCUUGCCUAAUCUCCCUGGGGAGGGCUUUUCAAAGCUGAGGGGCCCUCAUCCCCACCAACUGCAUGUGUGACUGUGGCAGGACCGAAAGGAGAGCCUCCCCGGCAUAUCUUAGAGCCCAUUCUGGUUCAUAGGGGGGAUGUGGUCACGAAGAUAUGCAGGACCUGAACAGUUUAGGGCUUUGUAGAUAAUAACCUGCACUUUGAAUUGGCAUCGGAAACUUAUGUAUGCAUGUUUAUGUAUGCAUACAUUGUUUUUCCUUAUUUGUAUUUUUUGUUAUUUUUUGAAAGUGUGAAUUGAAAUCAUGGAGUUGAUGGAGAGAUCUUUGAAAGGAGAUUUUCUGACUGAUCACCCAUUUUAGUCAGUCCUCCACAUUCACUGGGGUUUGAGACACAGGACCACUACAACAUCGGGAAAGACACAAAUUAAAAAAACACACUUUUUUUCAACCUGAGCACAUGUCUCUAGUAAUUGCUUUGUCCUCCAGCACAGCUCUAUGGACAACUUCUGCCAGAAGUUGAAUUUAGAAUCAUGCUAGACUCUACAAAAUGCUUAGAGAAAUGUUAUUUCUAGAUCAUCCAGUGUAAGAUGACCCUGGACUUGUCAUGGAGGACACAGAAAUUACUGGAGAGAGCAUGUUAAAAAAAUCUGUGGAUAAUUAAAUCCUCAAAAGUGGAUGUGGAGGGGCAACUGUGGUAUUCAACUUGGAUCUAUGUACUAGAGGUUAGGUAAAUACAGUAGAGUCUCACUUAUCCAAGCUAAACGGGCUGGCAGAACCUUCGAUAGCGAAUAUCUUGGAUAAUAAGGAGGGAUUAAGGAAAAGCCUAUUAAACAUCAAAUUAGGUUAUGAUUUUAUAAAUUAAGCACCAAAACAUCAUGUUAUACAACAAAUUUGACAGAAAAAGUAGUUCAAUACGCAGUAAUGUUAUGUUGUAAUUACUGUAUUUACGAAUUUAGCACCAAAAUAUCAUGAUAUAUUGAAAACAUUGACUACAAAAAUGGCUUGGAUAAUCCAGAACCUUGGAUAAGCGAGUCUUGGAUAAGUGAGACUCUACUGUACCUAGAUUGAGCAUGAUGUCCCAGUUUGAAUCUUCAAUUAUGACUCUGGAGACCAGGGUUUGAACCCCUAUUCAGCCAUGGAAAUCACCUUGAACAAGUCCUAUUUUCUCAGCCUCAGAUUGGAUCUACACUGUUAUAUAAUCCAGUUUCAGAAUGCACGUUUACUGCUUUGAACAGGACUGUAUGAAUCUACACUGCUCAGAAGAAGGCAAAGGAAAAUCCCUUCUUAAUAAACUUUGUCAAGAAAAACCCCUUCGUGGGCCACCGUAAACUGGAAAUUACUUGAGGUGACACAACAAAGUCAGUACUUGUGAAAUAAAGCUUAUGUUGGAACCUGAGUAAAUUUUCAAGUAAGCGCAUAUGUAAGUCUGUAUCUGUGAAUCUCAAGCAAACAAUUUGUUCCAGCUCUGCUAUCUGCUCUCUCCUUUCUGAUAUGAAAGUAUUCAAGAGUGUUUUGUCUUCUUUCCAGGUGCCUUAUCUUCAGUGUAUGGAAUCUGUGUGUGGCGUGGCAACUUUCUCUCAGCCCACUGACGUAAGCCACCGAAACAAAUCCCUCUUGGUUUCGGCUGAACCUCUGUUAGGAUCUUCAUUGUGCCUCAAAACCAAACUUACCUGGGAGUAAGGCCUCUACUGAACACAAUGGGACUUUUAAGCAAACAUGAAGAGGAUCUUAAAUUGUUUACUUACCAGGGAAUAACUGAACAAAGUGCAACUUAUUUUUGAGUAAAUAUGCUGUGUAAACAAAGCCCCUCAGAGUAUUUCAUAUGUGUAUUCACUUGCAGGAAAAUUCCUUAUGAAGAAUAGAAAGUACAAAGACAGAGCUAUUUUUAAAAAAGUAUAUGUUUUAAUCAAUGUUAUACAGAUGCAGAAAGAUUUUAGUAUGAUGUGUGUGUGUGCUCUGGGUGUAAUACUUACUAGCCAUGAGAAACUAAUAUCCUAGAUCAGUGAUUCUCAGCCUGGGGUUUCCAGAUGUUUUUGGCCUACAACUCCCAGAAAUCCCAGCCAUUUUACCAGCUGUUAGGAUUUCUGGGAGUUGAAGGCCAAAAAUAUCUGGGGACCCCCUGGUUGAGAACCACUGCCCUAGAUUCUUAGUACACAUUAAUCAAUGUUAGAUUAGUUACAUAUGUUUGGAUAUUAUAUCUGCUCUUUAAUGUGGAUAACAAAGAAAACUCAGCUGAAGAGAAUCAACCCUUGGUGCUGGGAAACUAUGAGUACUGUGGAUGGCCAAAAUGACCAAUAAAUGAGUAUUAGAAUA